UGGCGGACGCUGGGCGAACUGCACCCGAGGAAAGCGUCGCAGCCACUUCCCUGCCCAGGCGGGUCGGCCAUCCCUCGGCGCCGCUCUGAGAGCCCCAGCUGGCGGCAGGAAGGAGGCGCCCGCAGUGCCAUUCCGGCCAUUCCAGGAGACACCGACCACGAGCGGGCGCCCGGCGUCUGGCCGAGCGGCAGGCCUCCGCGGAGUCUGCUAAGUCUCCGGGAUGAAAGUGACGCAUAUCUCCCUUCCCGCCGUUCGCUCCAUAGUCUCCCACCACACUAAGCAAGAAGCAACAUUCUCCAAGGACCUUCCCUCUGUGAAAACACGACCAAGUUCCCGGCUCCAAGCUUAUUUGCGACCGCAUUUUGAAGGGCCUCGGGUCAUCGGCAGGCACCGGGUGCCUGCCCCUCCCCAUUCUGACCUCUCGCCCAGCAGUUGUGACAAGAAACUAUAGGCAAUGAACAAGUCCACAGUUCGAUUUGGAACAUACAGGACAAUUUAUUGAAGUCAAUCUCAAGCAAAAUCUGAAGUCAGUGGAAUGUCAUUAAGAACCUUUCCAAAUUAAUCCUCACGGAAGCAAAAAACACAUCCGAAUUCCAAAGUAUUUGUAAAAUAAAAAAAGGCAACAUCUCAGUAAAUAUAAUGUACAAAAAUUUAUGUUCCUACCGGCACACACAGUAGUAAGAAGCUUAAAAUUCCAGGCAAUCCUAAAUAUACAGUAACUAGUCAACAAUAAGCUAUCUAUAUACAGGUUAACCAAGCUUUACACGUUUCACACUAUGCAGUAAAACAUAGGCCAUUCAACAAAACCCCCAAAAUAUCAUAUAUCUUGAAGUCUAUGUGGCAACAUCAAGUCAUUAUACAGUAAUGCCCUAGUGGAAUGCCCCCCAGGGAAAACGAACACUAAUCCCUUAGUGUCAAGAGCUUCUAGCCAAGUCACAGAAACUCAAAAGAGAUUGACUUUAGUGAAUAUUGAUGCUUUGUUAUUAAAGACUCAAGUCUCAAGUGAUUUAGGCAAAAUAACAUUUCACAGGAUCUACAAAUUUAUUACAGAUAAACAAAGUACAGAAAUAACCAAUCUACAAAGGUCAUUAUAGAUAAAGAUCACAAGAAAAAGAAAACAAUCUGUAGGUAUCUGUGUUUGCUGUGCAAUAUCACAAGUGGUUACAAAUGAAUUUCUCCUAUCAAUUCCAAUUACGCACACACCCUUGUAUAGAAAAAGGAUCUUAUUAGCUAGUUGUAAUCAUCAUUUAAUAUCAAUCAUCAUUUAGUAUCUUGGUCAUCGGAGGCAAUGUGAUUUUCUUUUUUAACAGAGGGUAUGUGACAGCACAAAUGAGAUAAAGAGCAGUAUUAAUGACAACAGAGUAAAAGGUAAAUUGUAUCCAGUCCACUCCUAACCCGACAAGAAUACCUCAUACAUACCUCGUCUCGGUGAUCUGAGGGACACUGCGCGCCCCGCGUGCACACAUCGAAGGUCUGUGGCAGGUGGGGGGGGGACCGGCGCCUGAGGGGGCUUGCCUGCCAACUCGCAGAUCCGGAGGGUCACACAAGAAAAGUAAGGACUGAAUAAAUGACUUUGGCAACUGUUCAUCUUUUUCGCUUUUUCUUACACGUAACUGACUUUCACAGGCUACAGAAGGGCAGGCUGCUCUCCUCCUCCCCACCACACACACAUCUGUGCCACAAGCACCUGAACUUGUCACUUAAGCAAUGGACUGACGGAGAAAAGAACGGAAAUCGUUUCUGAAACACACACAGACUACACCCUGCGUUUCAGGAGUGUAACGUAAGUGCAAAUUUUUGUUUUUUCCCCUACACAGGCAUAUAUAUUAAAAGGAAAGAAGAGGUGCAUGGGGAUGGGGUUGACAAAAAUACAAGAGAAAGAACACACAUGGGAAAUACUCAUAAAAAUGCUGGUAUUUCAUGCAAGAGUCUCUUCCUCGAAUGUGUACAUGAAAUCUGAGCUAUCUGCUGUGGACACUCCAUCCCAUUCGCAGAACUUUGCCUUUAAUCCAAGUUGAAGAGGACAAGAGACUAGGCAAUUUGUUUUCAAAACAGUAUACAAAACAAUGCUUUCUACUUCAUAAAUUUAAAAAUAACUGUAAAAUAAAGGGAAUCUGAAGAGUUUCAAGUACUUAAAAAACCUGAAUUCAAUGAGGCAGAGGUCUCAAUGUUAAAGUGACUACUUCGUACCUGUGGUAAACAUUGUCAUUCCCCCUCCCUCACCCUGUUCUAACCCCCUUUUCUUCCUGUACCCUGCCCCGGGGGAAAAGUUGGUAGAUUUCAGUACGUACACAUUUCCAACUUUUCAAUAUUCAUUAAUACAUGGCAAAGCCAUCUAAUCAGAUCUCUCCCUAGCUUAGCUGAAAAUGGAGGCGAGUUCUCCUCUCAGUUUACAGACAACCAGGGACCAACUGCAAGUGGCCUAGGCCAACGGAAAUCCUUCCAAAUGAUCACUUUGUGUGUGCAGCAACCUGGCCAACUCCAGAAGUCGAAUCUGCUCCGCCCGGCAAUAAAGCCACUUGCCAGUGGCAUCGCACCUCCUCCCAGAUUUGCCAGUGAACAAAACCAACUACAGACCACGAGAGAGCAACGCGUCCUUUGGCCCACCGGGUUGGUGAGCGCAGGCAAGCACGGCGCGUGCACACGCUGCGCAUGGGAAGCACAGCUUUCUCCCCCAGCUUUCGCUUCCACAGCCUGCAACGUGAAGAUACGUAAAACAGGUCGGUCGUGACACCACGGAGGUGUGAGGAGAGCUAUGGGCCACUGACGGGACGAAAGCCUCUUUCUGGACCACUGAAGAGCACUCCUGGAUGAAGCCUCCAGAGCUGUAGUUAGUAGCUAUUUUGUUUUUUACCCUAAUUUCUGAAAUGGCAGAAUGAUCCUGUUAGGUACCCUCCCACCCCCCCAAAAAAAGAUUUAAAAAUCUCAGCAGAGCCAUUAUGACAAAAUGUGACAUGACGAGGAAGCUGCAUGAAAAUACUGAAACCUAAGGUAUUUGUAAGUAUACGGAUGGACCCUGGCUUACCAUACAAAAGUCAUCAGAUAUUAAAUAGCACUAAGUCCAAAACAAAGCAAGAAGAGAAGAGUUCAUGUAGGAUACGGUUUCAACAAGUUAUAUUUUGAACGUUAAAAGAAAUCCUUCAUAUUAGUAAGUUUAAAAAAAAGCAAACAUUUAUCUCAUAUAUAUAUACACACACAUAUAUAUAUAUAAAAUAAAGUUUUAGUAUGAUAAAACCUAGAUUUUCUUAAAUUAUUUUUUAAAAGGAUAUCAAACUAUAUAAUUGCUCAAGAGCAAAGUUUAGUGUUUUGGUGCGCUGUGCUGCACGUUACUGUAGCCAUUCGAUCUGGUAACAUGCACAGCAUUUUCCAUUUCGCUCUUUCUCCUGGGACCAUAUCUAAUCAAGAGAAUUCCUGGAGGCUCUAUAAGUUACCUCAGAAUUAAUUGCUGGAAUCAGGCAAAUGGCAGUUUAGGAGCUUAAGUAAAGGAAUUGUAGUGUGAUAUAUAUUUUUUUGUUUUAUGUUUUUUUACAAGAGAAAAUCCAGUUCAAUUGCACAUUUACAUUAAAAAAAAAAAAAAA